UUGAAUGAAUUUUGAACAAAAAUUUUUAUGAAAUUUUAAUUUGUAUAUUCAUAUCCAGGGAUGUGUGUGUAUAGGAGCUCUGCUUUCCAGUGUAUCCGAUACACCUGUUACUAAAUUAGUAUCUUCAUAUCAUAGCAAAGUGACAAAAAGAAACAACUUUAAUAUACUUCUGAUCUUCUAAUUUAUUGACGUUAUUCACAUAUAAAAGCUUUUCAGUACUCUCUAGGUCCUCUAGCUUCCACCAUUCUAUGAUAAACCCCGUAAUUUAUACGAAUGCUCUGCAUGAUAUAGUAUUACCGUUAGCCAUGUUUGUAUAUUUAUCAAUAUAGAUAUUAUUGUUUGAGGGAAAUAAUUCUAAAAUUCUUUAAAUUCACUUUCAUAUACAAUUUCUUGCAUGGAUCAUGAAA
rnacentral:misc_RNA from 1 species